rnacentral:rRNA from 1 species
AUUGAACGCUGGCGGCAGGCCUAACACAUGCAAGUCGACUGUAACAGGAAGCAGCUUUCUGCUUCGCUGACGAGUUGCGGACGGGUGAGUAAUUUCUGGGAAGCUGCCUGAUGGACGGGGAUAACUACUUGAAACGGUAGCCAAUACCGCAUAAUGUCGCAAGACCAAAAAGGGGGACCUUCGGGCCUCUUGCCAUCGUAAGUGCCCAGAUGGGAUUACCUUGUUUGUGGGGUCACGGCUCACCAAGGCGACCAUCCCUAGCUGGUCUGAGAGAAUGAACAGCCACACUGGAACAGAGACACGGUCCAGACUCCUACGAGAGGAAGCAGUGUAGAAUAUUGCACAAUGGGCGCAAGCCUGAUGGAGCCAGGCCGCGUGUAUGAAGAAGGCCUUCCAGUUGUAAAGUACUUUCAGCGGGGAGGAAUGGAGUAAAGUUAAUACCUUUGCUCAUUGACGUUACCCGCAGAAGAAGCACCGGCUAACUUCGUG